UACGUAGGUGGCAAGCGUUGUCCGGAGUUAUUGGGCGUAAAGCGCGCGCAGGCGGUGCGGUAAGUCUCUGGUGAAAGCGCUCGGCUUAACUGGGCGAGGGCCGGGAGACUGCCACGCUGGAGGGGAGCAGAGGCGAGUGGAAUUCCGGGUGUAGUGGUGAAAUGCGUAGAGAUCCGGAGGAACACCAGUGGCGAAGGCGGCUCGCUGGGCUCUACCUGACGCUGAGGCGCGAAAGCGUGGGGAGCGAACCGG
rnacentral:rRNA from 1 species